CUAUAGUUCUGUAAGUCUUAUCUACCUGAAUAACCUAAGGACUAAGGCUUCACAUUAGCAAGAAAGAAUCCUGAGUCUAGAUUUUAUUGUUCCACCCCAACCCUAUAACAACUUAUCCAUAAACCCUGAAAAAAUGAAAACUUUUGGGAGAGAGGCCAUCAUUUUCUUGAAAUUACUUUUUGCGAUCUGAGCUGAAAAGAUCACCAAAGAAGGGCACAAUGUUACAUCAAAAAAAGGCCGUUUUACAAUUAUUUGAAACUUGAAUCUAUGUGAAAGGAACAGCAGACAAUGGAAUGCCCCAGGUCCAUCCUGUUGAGCUGUCAAGUUCUGGGAAGGGAUACAAGUGUAUUGUUCAGAGUCUCCGAGAUAAUAUAUAUCCCAAAGCAAUUUAUGAUGUCACACAUUAGAGUUGUGAAGUUCAAAUGGAAAAAUACAAUUGAAGAAAACAAAAGAGGAAGAAAAAUCAAUAAACUGGAGGCUUAAAGAGAAACCAUCUCUCCAUAAAAGUGACUUUCAGCACUGAUGUAUGCCAUAAAGUUAUCUCUAACAAAGUCGAUGAAAUAGUUAACUCCCAGCAAAGCUAUGGUCUGUCACUCAUUUGUCUUGAAAAUAAUGUAGUGAAAUGUCCCUUAGACAUGUGCUUUAGUGGAGAGACAUUUUUGGAACAGAAGAUCAUGUGAGGAAAAACAGGGCAACUGCAGGGCUUAAGGGAUUCAUGGGAUAAAAAGCAGAAAAGGUCUUGGAAGACAGUUGGAUGGUGUGGUCUAACUGUGUGUGUAAGUGUCAGUGUGUUGGCGAUGGUAGGAUCUCUGGAUUAUUUCUUGGCUGUCUUAAUUAGAUGGACUGUGAAUCUUUGGGCCAAUCUCCUUACUUCCAGCCUCCAGCUUCCCUCCUCCUCUCCCUAGCUAAUUAAUAAUUUUAACGUUUUGGUGCCUAUCACAGUUUUUUUCCUUCAAAGUCAGACUCUCUUUUACAUACUAGCAUUAGGUAUUUUGUAAAAAAUGAUCCAACCUGAGCACAUUUCCUUAUUAAGAAUAAUAGGUAUUACGAUUAUUUUUACAUGAAUACAAAAUGUUUCAUGCUGAAAAGAGAUUAUUCCUGCUCAAUAAGCAUUAUUAUUAAUAAUGAUGUGAUACCUGA